rnacentral:miRNA from 1 species
GCAGACACAUUCCAGCCAAUCAGCAGCAGACCCUCCCUCCCAGACCCUCCACCUCCUGGACAGCUCACUAAGAAUGCAGCUUCAAAAUGGAUGCUGUCCAGGAGGUGGUGAGGGUCUGGGAGGGAGGGUCUGCUGCUGAUUGGCUGGAAUGUGUCUG